rnacentral:lncRNA from 1 species
CACUUGGUCAUUGCACAAGGAAGUGGGCAAAGAAAACCCCACAGAUUAAUAACUGAAGAUAGUAAAUAUCUUCCACAUUUAUUAACAACAGUCUGCUCAUUGUUGCUGGCCUACCCUAGCCUUACCUUCAGCAGGAGAGGUGGGUUUACCCUCUGAAUGCUGAAGACAGAUCUUGGGGAAUCCCCAGAGAUGGAGAACAGGGAGCCUCGGGUAGAGGAGUGGCUCGAGCCUAAGGGCGUCUCCUGAGGACUAAGGAAGAACACAGAUGGGGAUUUCUUCCUGGAAGCAGGGGUCAAUUCAGUGCUAAAUACCCAAGUCAGAGAAGCAGCAGGAAAGAAGACAGCUCAAGGGGAUGCAGCACAAGGACAGGGGAGUAAGUAGAGCUCAUGGAUGGUUCUGAGCUGCUCUUUUAAGAAGUCUCAAAAGGCAGCCAGAAGGGAGAGUCAAGGUUCUGGACAAGCUUAGGGAAUCAGAAAUAUUUUUGGCCAUUUUGGAAAAUUCAGUCCACCACUAUAAGAUCUACCUUUGGAAGGCUUGGGUCUGGGAUGCAGGAAGGAUUCAAAAGGAAGAGAUGACUGUAACGCCUGGCCCUGAAACUGUUCACCCUCAAGGCAUUUCCCAUCUGAUUCCAUUGGUUUCUGGACAGUGAGUCACACAUUGCGGGUAAAAGCUGUUUCGAGACUCGUUCUUCUCUGUCUUCCUCUCUGUCCUCUGUUGCCCCUCACUUAUUCCCUUACCUCCGCCUUCUGCACAGGACAUCCCCUUUGGAGUCCCACAGUGUCCUAUGCGCAUCCCUCUCCUUGGGCUUACUAUUCCCAACUGUAAUAUUCUGGCUAUUGCCCAUUGCUGGUACUUCCUUCUCCUUUUUCUCAUGUUUUUGUGACUGGCUAACUUUUCUCCUGGGUGACACAUUGUCUCUAAGGGGUUUAAUGCAUUCAAGUUUUCUUGGCUUGGGAACCACCGAUCUUUUCAAGGUGCAUUCAAGGUGACUUUAGUGCAGUUCUGAUUUGGAAAACACUGCAGCCUGGAACAGAAGGGCCCCUGCUCAGGUGCCUGCCCUUGGAGAAGCUGCGCGCGCAGCAGGAGCCUGUUUCUCCUGAGACGUCUCUUCUGCGCCAUCUGCCGACAGAGUUGAACAUCGCGCCAGCCGGCAAAGGAAAAAUAAACUCUCACAGUCAACCAAAAGGUUGAAGUGGGUGCUGUGACAAUGAACCCAAAGCCCACAGAAGAUAAACCCUGGCCAUCUCUAAUCUUCACUCCUGCAGCAUUUUCUUUAUAAGCCUCACAGUUAUUCAGCCUCUAGCUUUACUACCCUCAAAAUUGUUGACAAAGGUCUGGGACACCCAGAAAACGGAGGUGAGGCUGUGUUGCCAAACUCAAUUUUUAGAAACAAACCUCGCAGUCUUACUACUUUGCUUAGUAUCCUAGCAUGCCUCCUCACUAAAAAGAGUUCGUGUUUCUACUUCUGAGUUUCUUCUUUUAUUCCCAGAUCUAUACAGACACAUAAAACCCAGAUCUGUUCCAUGCUUGUCUUGUUAUCCCUUUUAAUCCCCCUCAACUACGGGUUCCUCAAACAGGAACCCUAAUGGGCUCAUUCUAAUUCUAUUCUAGAUAAAGCCACACCCUUCCUUAUUUUCUCCCAAAACUUUGAACUCCACCUGUUCCCCCUCCCCAAUGUCCUGUGCAGGCAUUUCUGUGGAAUUCAGUGCUGUUUCUGGCGCGGUUCUCACCACAGUCGUUCAUUCGCCACAUUGUUAAGUUUGAGGCCAGAGAACUCCUCUCAUUCCAUUUUGUAUUUCGAGUACAUGACACAUGGCUGGGCACGUCGGAAGCUG